rnacentral:misc_RNA from 1 species
AACGCACGAGACCUGCGGACCUGCGGAGGGAUCAUUAAUGAGAAACUGCCCCUCGCGGGUAGAUCUCCCACCCUUUGUAAACUUACCUUUGUUGCUUUGGCAGGCCCGUCUCCGGACCGCCGGCUUCGGCUGGCCAGUGCCUGCCAGAGGAUUCUAAAACUCUGUCUGUCAGUGUUGUCUGAGUCUAUAUACAAUCGUUAAAACUUUCAGCAACGGAUCUCUAGAUCGGAAGAGCACACG